UGCGACUGGGGAAUAGUCAGACAUCCCUAUUGGGGAUACUUGUGAACAGAGUGAGCAAAGGACACCGACGACAGCUCUGGCAUGCACUUGGCUAUCUCAGUAGAAGAAAAAAUGAAAAGGAUGGAUAGGCUGGCUGGGGUGGAGCUGUCGUCGCUUCAGUCCACUAUAAGGAAAACGUUGAAGCUUCUUCAAAGACUUUCCUCUUCUCGUUCAGUGGUCUUCUCGUUCUUUGCUCGUUGCUCGACGUCGGAAGACCAAGAAAAGCUUCCAAAAUCACGAAGCAUACGAGAGGAAUCAGUCGCUCUCAAGAAAACGAGAUUCGUCAAUGCAAGACCUGAAGUAAACCAAGCAAUCAUGAGUGCAAUAAAAAAGGUACUCCAGUGAGAUGGAGGCAGAAACAACCGCGUCCGACGACGACCAGUGCCUCUGAAACAGAAUGAAUCUUCAACUUCGACUUUGGAAGUGCAAGAAAGUGCCGAAGAAUCUAACGGCAUUUCGGCCACUCCAAGACCCUCACCGAGGCUAUACAAUGCAACUUUCAAUUCUCCAAUAGACUGCGUUUUUUCCAAAGCCGUCAGGCUCCUCGAAUUAUAAUAAAUGCCUGGAAUAAACGUGCAUAUAAGCCAAGUGCCAAACCUGCCUGGCCAAGUGAACGGUGCUGUAAAUAUUUAUAUCGUCAAUUUGCAAACAUGAAAUGGACCAUAUUUUUCAUUUGCCAGUUUUGCUGAUGGUGUAGGAAAUAAUUAUCUGGCCACCUAUAUAUGUAUUUUAUUUUCGUGAGUGUUCAAAUAUUUCUGCUGAAAGAUGAGUAGCUUCUGCGUAAGAUGUGCUGUAAGAGAAUAUUGAAUGAGUGUUUUAUUAACCAAAAGUUCGCCUUCUCUCAGUUUCCAUUAAUGAUAUACGAGGUAUCGUGUUAUGCUGUAUUUUGCUAGUGGUAAGUUGUAGAUUAUAAAAGGAAUUAAAUAUUGGCGUAAUGGUUUGGUGCCUGGGAUCCGCAGUAUCAAAUUUAUGCUGAUUCAUACGCAAUCUUCAAUUGAUGAACCGAUUAUGCGAUUGUGAUAUAACCUGUUAGUUGAUACAAUUUUCAAACAUGAAAUUUACAAUAAUUUUUGUUUGUCAUUUGUGCUGAGGGUGCUGAGGGGUUAGGUCACCUGAUUCGUUGAGUGUUGAACUGGUGAUGAAAAGAGAAUUAACUUACUCGUUGUAUGCGCUCGAUAAAAGAAUUUUGAAUGAGAAUGAAUAUGAAAUUUGAACUACUCGUAGCCUGCUAUUGAAUUGAAAAAAAAACUUGUGCGAUAGUAAGUGAUAUAGCCUCUAAGGUUUUACUAUUUUGAUGCGGGUAAAGGAAAUUCUUAUCCAUCUGUGUUGUAUUUAGGUUCAAAAUUGAAUGCCGAAGCUUUACUCGAACUUGUGUUGGAGAGAGUAAAAAUAUCGAGUUAGACUGAACGCGCAUGUUUUCGGCUAGAAAUCGGUACCAAACAUUUUUGUGUGUUGGUAGAAUAUAUUUUGCACCAGUACACCAUCAAAUAGUGUUCAGAAUUUUCUUGUAUCAUCAUAAUCUUCAACGAGUCGAAAAAGAUAUUGAAAAUAAACUCGUGUAGUUAAGUAUUCAACUUCCCCUCCCUUCCUCCCACUGGAGGAGAGGGUGGGGA
rnacentral:lncRNA from 1 species